rnacentral:rRNA from 1 species
UACAGAGGGGGCAAGCGUUAUUCGGAAUUAUUGGGCGUAAAGCGCGCGUAGGUGGUUCGUUAAGUUGGAUGUGAAAUCCCCCGGGCUCAACCUGGGAACUGCAUUCAAAAACUGUCGAGCUAGAGUAUGGUAGAGGGUGGUGGAAUUUCCUGUGUAGCGGUGAAAUGCGUAGAUAUAGGAAGGAACACCAGUGGCGAAGGCGACCACCUGGACUGAUACUGACACUGAGGUGCGAAAGCGUGGGGAGCAAACAGG